AAGGCUUUAAGUUAACGAUUAAACUAAUAACCUUCAAAGCUAUAAAUAAAGAAAGUAUCUUUAAGCCUUA
rnacentral:tRNA from 1 species